AACUUAUGUGACUAGGGAGUCACGAAGUGAGUAUGUUACUGGUAUGCAGGCAGAACUCAGAUUACACUGAAAAUUUUUAUUUUCCGUGUAGUUUGAGUUUUUUUUUCUGGAAAGGAGGAUCUA
rfam:Clostridium sp. FS41 CLFS41_contig000015, whole genome shotgun sequence.